UCCUGGCUCAGGAUGAACGCUAGCUACAGGCUUAACACAUGCAAGUCGAGGGGAAACGAUAUUGAAAGCUUGCUUCUUUAGGCGUCGACCGGCGAAUGGGUGAGUAACGCGUAUCCAACCUGCCCCUGAGUAAGGGAUAGCCCAUCGAAAGAUGGAUUAAUACCUUAUGGUUCCUUUGAAGGCAUCAGAUUAGGAAUAAAGAUUUAUCGCUGAGGGAUGGGGAUGCGUCUGAUUAGCUUGUUGGCGGGUAACGGCCCACCAAGGCGACGAUCAGUAGGGGUUCUGAGAGGAAGGUCCCCCACAUUGGUACUGAGACACGGACCAAACUCCUACGGGAGGCAGCAGUGAGGAAUAUUGGUCAAUGGGCGGAAGCCUGAACCAGCCAAGUAGCGUGCAGGAAUGACUGCCCUAUGGGUUGUAAACUGCUUUUAUACGGGGAUAAAGUCAGAGUCGUGACUCUGUUUGCAGGUACCGUAUGAAUAAGGACCGGCUAAUUCCGUGCCAGCCGCAGC
rnacentral:rRNA from 1 species